rnacentral:rRNA from 1 species
UAGUGGCGAACGGGUGAGUAACACGUGGGCAAUCUGCCCUUCACUNUGGGACAAGCCCUGGAAACGGGGUCUAAUACCGGAUAACACCUGCCCGGGCAUCCGGGUGGGUUAAAAGCUCCGGCGGUGAAGGAUGAGCCCGCGGCCUAUCAGCUUGUUGGUGAGGUAGUGGCUCACCAAGGCGACGACGGGUAGCCGGCCUGAGAGGGCGACCGGCCACACUGGGACUGAGACACGGCCCAGACUCCUACGGGAGGCAGCAGUGGGGAAUAUUGCACAAUGGGCGAAAGCCUGAUGCAGCGACGCCGCGUGAGGGAUGACGGCCUUCGGGUUGUAAACCUCUUUCAGCAGGGAAGAAGCGAAAGUGACGGUACCUGCAGAAGAAGCGCCGGCUAACUACGUGCCAGCAGCCGCGGUAAUACGUAGGGCGCAAGCGUUGUCCGGAAUUAUUGGGCGUAAAGAGCUCGUAGGCGGCUUGUCACGUCGGGUGUGAAAGCCCGGGGCUUAACCCCGGGUCUGCAUUCGAUACGGGCUAGCUAGAGUGUGGUAGGGGAGAUCGGAAUUCCU